UACGGGGGGGGCAAGCGUUGUUCGGAAUUACUGGGCGUAAAGGGUUCGUAGGUGGCUUGUUAAGUCAGACGUGAAAUCCCUCGGCUCAAACCGGGGAACUGCGUCUGAGACUGAUGAGCUUGAGUGCAGGAGAGGAACGCGGAAGUUCCAGGUGUAGCGGUGAAAUGACUGUAGAGAUGUGGAGGAACACCAGUGGCGAAGGCGGCUUCUGGUCUGUAACUGACGCUGAGGCGC
rnacentral:rRNA from 1 species